UUGACCUCAGAUCAGACAAAGAUUCUU
rnacentral:rRNA from 1 species